CAUUUAUAUUUACAUCAGCAAAAAUAGCAUGUAAUUGACUGAAAAUAAUUUUUGAGGAUAUUUCAGUAAUUUGUUGGGCUUUCGAAGUGCACUUGCAAAUGUUUAGCCUCCUAUUAAAUUGAGGAUCUUUUAUUUAUGUUUAUGGUGAUUAGUAUCUUGAUGCCAGUGUGAGUUCGUUUCAGAUUCCCAUACUCAGACUGAAGUGUUUACUGGACCAAUAUAGGUGGUAUCGCCAUAUAUGAUUGGUUAUGAUGGGAAUGGAAAAAUCUGAAGGAGUCUGCAGGAACUGCUUCAUGGGACCCGGCUUGGCAAAAAGCUCAGCUAGAAAACAUAGAAGUCAAGUUGAGAACAGAUGUUGACUGAAGAUGCAUGCGAGCGUGAGGGAAGGAAAAAAGAAACUGAAAAAUCAUCACUGAAAAAUAAAAAGCAAGGAAGAAAAACUCCUGAUCCA
rnacentral:lncRNA from 1 species